CAGUAGCCACGGUAAAACGUAGGUGGCAAGCGUUGUCCGGAAUUAUUGGGCGUAAAGGGCUCGCAGGCGGUUUCUUAAGUCUGAUGUGAAAGCCCCCGGCUCAGCCGGGGAGGGUCAUUGGAAACUGGGAAACUUGAGUGCAGAAGAGGAGAGUGGAAUUCCACGUGUAGCGGUGAAAUGCGUAGAGAUGUGGAGGAACACCAGUGGCGAAGGCGACUCUCUGGUCUGUAACUGACGCUGAGGAGCGAAAGCGUGGGGAGCGAACAGGAUUAGAGACCCCCGUAGUCCCUGUCUCUUAUAC
rnacentral:rRNA from 1 species